GUACUCGCUUCUGCAGCACAUAUAUUAAAUUGGAAUGAUACAGAGACGAUUACCAUGGCCCCUGCGCAAGGAUGACAUGCAAAUUCGUGAAGCAUUCCAUAUUUAA